UACGGGGGGGGGCAAGCGUUGUUCGGAAUUACUGGGCGUAAAGGGCGCGUAGGCGGUUUUGUAAGUCUGUCGUGAAAUCCCCGGGCUCAACCUGGGAACUGCAUUGGAAACUAACGGGCUCGAGUGUGGCAGAGGGGGGGUGGAAUUCCACGUGUAGCAGUGAAAUGCGUAGAGAUGUGGAGGAACACCGAUGGCGAAGGCAGCCCCCUGGGCUAACACUGACGCCUCAGGCACGAAAGCGUGGGGAGCAAACAGG
rnacentral:rRNA from 1 species